rnacentral:rRNA from 1 species
UACGGGGGGGGCAAGCGUUGUUCGGAAUUACUGGGCGUAAAGGGCGCGUAGGCGGCCUGUUAAGUCACACGUGAAAUCCCCAGGCUUAACCUGGGAACUGCAUUCGAGACUGCAUUGCUAGAGUAUGGGAGAGGGAAGUGGAAUUUCCGGUGUAGCGGUGAAAUGCGUAGAUAUCGGAAGGAACAUCAGUGGCGAAAGCGACUUCCUGGACCAAUACUGACGCUCAUGUGCGAAAGCGUGGGGAGCAAACAGG